rnacentral:rRNA from 1 species
UACGAAGGGGGGCUAGCGUUGCUCGGAAAUCACUGGGCGUAAAGCACACGUAGGCGGCUUUUUAAGUCAGAGGUGAAAUCCUGGAGCUCAACUCCAGAACUGCCUUUGAUACUGGAGUGCUUGAGUCCGGGAGAGGUGAGUGGAACUGCGAGUGUAGAGGUGAAAUUCGUAGAUAUUCGCAAGAACACCAGUGGCGAAGGCGGCUCACUGGCCCGGUACUGACGCUGGAGGUGCGAAAGCGUGGGGAGCAAACAGG